AUACGUAUGUGCCGAGCGUUAUCCGGAUUUACUGGGCGUAAAGGGAGCGUAGACGGUUUUGUAAGUCAGAAGUGAAAGUCCUGAGCUCGACUCGGGAACGGCUUUUGAAACUGGUUAACUUGAGUGCUGGAGGGGAAAGCGGAACUCCAUGUGGAGCGGUGAAAUGCGCAGAUAUAUGGAAGAACACCGGUGGCGAAGGCGGCUUUCUGGACAGUAACUGACGUUGAGGCUCGAAAGUGUGGGUAGCAAACAGGAUUAGAUACCCUGGUAGUCCACGCCGUAAACGAUGAACACUAGGUGUAGGGGGUAUUGCCCCUCUUAGUGCCGCAGUUAACACAAUAAGUAUUCCGCCUGGGGAGUACGGCCGUAAGGUUGAAACUCAAAUGAAUUGACGGGA
rnacentral:rRNA from 1 species